GGCGGGCCUCCCCGCAUUGCAAGGUGGUGAACUUGGUCAGGGCCGGAAGGCAGCAGCCACAGCCGCUCACUGCAAGUGCCGGGGGCAAGGCUCGCCACC
rnacentral:SRP_RNA from 1 species